CCGGCUCUGUUAGUUUUCGGUUAAAUCUGUAUGCUCAACAUACAGGCUGCCGGGAAUACUGCAGAGCUAGGGAGUGGGAGAGGUAGACGGUACUCGGUAGGAAGGGGUAAAAUCCUUUGAUCUAUUGAUGACCACCUGUGGCGAAGGCGGUCUACCAGAACACGUCCGACGGUGAGGGAUGAAAGCUGGGGGAGCAAACCGGAUUAGAUACCCGGGUAGUCCCAGCUGUAAACUAUGCAAACUCAGUGAUGCAUUGGCUUGUGGCCAAUGCAGUGCUGCAGGGAAGCCGUUAAGUUUGCCGCCUGGGAAGUACGUACGCAAGUAUGAAACUUAAAGGAAUUGGCGGGGGAGCACAA
rnacentral:rRNA from 1 species